UAUUGUAUGAUAUUUUUGAUUUGAGUGUAUGUGUGUAUAUGUAUGUAUAUGUGCUAUUACUGGUAAGAAGUUUUUAUAUGAAAAUUGCCGAAGGAACUUAACCUCUUCGCUUAUACCAAUAUUCAGAUAUCCAAAUAAAUCGAGACGAGAGAGCGAUCGGACAAAAUGGCCGUGGUGGAAAGUUACGAGGAUACUCGAGAUUGAUUGAGAAAUCGAUUGUACUUGUCCGACACCUGUUGACGCGUGGAAAACAUCGGCGAAUCGGGCAACUUAAUUAAUCCAUCAUUGGAAGAAUAAUCAAGUGUCGGAUAGAAUGUAAUAAGGAGCUCUCGAUUACUUCCACGAAGAGGAUCGUCUUCCUUCGAGACGACAAAGAUCAUGGAAGAAAAUGGAGGAAGAGAGACGAUAAG